AGAGCUGGCACCAUGGUGUGGCACAGACCCUGCGUCCCUUCAGAUUCUGCCAUGCCAGGCUGUUUGGCCUCAGGGAAGCAGCUUCCCUCACCAGUCCUUAGCACCUGGCACGUGGUGAGCCCUGUCCAUGGCACCAGUCACCGUCACCAUCAGUCAAGGGACUGCACCUUGGGGUGCUGGGUGCUGACGUCCUAUGGGAGGGCUCCAGGGGUGCCGCCUGUCUGGUGCUCUGGGGGUCACCCGAUGAAUGAGAGAGCCUUCCUGGGAGAGAGGGGUCUCGUUCAGCACCCCUCCUGAGGACCCAGCCCCACCCCAGGGUGUGAGGAUGCAGGCCAAGGGGGCCUGAGGGAGCUGCAGUAGGGUCUCAGCACCUCCUCAGCCUCCUGGUUCCCCCCUACCCCCUGCGCACAGAUAUCCAGUUCUGGAACAGCCGGCAGUCCCUGGAGGGCCUGUCCGUGCGCUCCGUCUUCUUUGGCGUUUUCCAGUCAUUCGUGGUCCUCCUCUACAUCCUGGACAACGAGACCAACUUCGUGGUCCAGGUCAGCGUCUUCAUUGGGGUCCUCAUCGACCUCUGGAAGAUCACCAAGGUCAUGGACGUCCGGCUGGACCGAGAGCACAGGGUGGCAGGAAUCUUCCCCCGCCUAUCCUUCAAGGACAAGUCCACGUAUAUCGAGUCCUCGACCAAAGUGUAUGAUGAUAUGGCAUUCCGGUACCUGUCCU
rnacentral:sRNA from 1 species